UAUAAUCCUUCUUUUUAUUUUCUUGAUUUGAUUCGUCAAAAGGUUUUGAACUUUCUUUUAAAAAAAAAUUAAAAGCGUAAUAAGACGCAAAAGGGACAAACAAGAAUUAACAACCUUUAGAGCGAGACGUUUAAAGGCACGUUUGACUUCGGUUUGGGAAGCGAGAGGAGUCAAGCCAAGAACCGUGUAAUGGCUAAGAUCUGGUGAUAAACAACAUCUUGUCGGAAACUGGAUUAACCGGCGGCUAUCAGUUUGGAUGGUGGAACCAGGGUGAUUCGUCGGAGCUUUGAACCGGAAAUUUCGUAUCAUCGUUUCUUCUUCUUCUUCUUCACCAACCAAACAUUUUAGGUUUAUAACAAAUCUUUUUUUCUUUCCCUUUUUGUGGGACUUUGGUGAAG